AGUCGCGUGCGCAGUUUCCGUAGCAAUACGGGGAUGGGCGCACGGCGCACGGGUGCGUAACACGUGGGCAAUCUGCCCUCCGAUGGGGAAUACCCCCGCGAAAGCGGGACUAAUUCCGCAUAACAUUCCUUGGAUUAACUUUCGAGGAUUCAAAGCAGCAAUGCGUCGGAGGAGGAGCCCGCGCCCGAUUAGCUAGUUGGUGAGGUAACGGCUCACCAAGGCAAUGAUCGGUAGCUGGUCUGAGAGGAUGGCCAGCCACACUGGAACUGAGACACGGUCCAGACUCCUACGGGAGGCAGCAGUGGGGAAUCUUGCACAAUGGGCGAAAGCCUGAUGCAGCGACGCCGCGUGGGGGAUGAAGCUUUUCGGAGUGUAAACUCCUUUCGACUGGGACGAAUGCCUCGCAAGAGGAGUGACGGUACCAGUAUAAGAAGCCCCGGCUAACUACGUGCCAGCAGCCGCGGUAAGACGUAGGGGGCCAGCGUUGUUCGGAAUUACUGGGUGUAAAGGGUUCGUAGGCGGUGUGGCAAGUCGGGAGUGAAAUCUCUGGGCUCAACCCAGAGACUGCUUCCGAAACUGCUGUGCUUGAGUGUGAGAGAGGCUCGUGGAAUUGCAGGUGUAGCGGUGAAAUGCGUAGAUAUCUGCAGGAACACCCGUGGCGAAAGCGGCGAGCUGGAUCACUACUGACGCUGAGGAACGA
rnacentral:rRNA from 1 species